CCCUGCCAUUUGUACACACCGCCCGUCGCUCCUACCGAUUGAAUGUUCCGGUGAACACUUUGGAAUCGUGGCUCUAUUCGGGGAAACUCGUUGGAGCAUACGGUGAAGUUGUGUAAACCUUAACAUUU
rnacentral:rRNA from 1 species